rnacentral:lncRNA from 1 species
UCAAGAAGUUAUUUAUUCGACUCAACCAAAAAAAGCAUAUUGAGAGAAGUAGUUAAGAAGAAGUGUAAUGACUGAGAGUUAUUAAAACUAACAUAUUAAAAAAACAAAAUUAACACAUGAGCAACUAAUAUAUUAUUAAGUAAAAGUGAAUACAACGGUUGUGAAUCGAAUACAACAGCUAAAUGGUAUUCUAUUUAUAUUUAAUAUGAAUACAGAUUAUUGAUAAAAUCGAAUACAGCGGACGUAAAUUGAAUACAGCGGCUAUAAAUGGUAAUUAUAUAAAAUAUGACUAUGAAAAAUGAAUUUUCCAGCAAAAUAUAACUAUUUUUAAGAGAUCCUCUUAAAAAAACAACGAACCUAAAUAACACACGAGCAAUUAAUAUAUUAUAAAGUUUCUUCCUUUUGAUCCAAUUUGUAACCUUAAUUAGCAUAUUCAUUUCAUUAUUUUUCUGAUCAAGCUAGAUAUUAUUAAAAAAAAUAUAUAUCGAAUACACCACCCAUGCCAAAUUAAUAAAAAGAAAUUAUUCUAUUCAAAUUUUAACAAGUAACAUGUGUAACAAGUUAUCCAAGUAUUGUCAUAUGUAUACUCAACUUUUGCUGCAAAAUAGUUAUUAAAGUUAUUAUGAUACCUUCUUAUAGCAUAUGAAUUAAUUAGCAAUUGGACCAAAAUGACAAAAAAAAAAAAAAAAAAAAAAAAAAAAAGGAAUAAAGCUUUUGGACAUUUGGGAAAUAUUCAACACGCAAGCUUAAAUAGAAGGGGGGAUUUUGUCAGAUCAGAAAAGUAAAGGGUUGUCCAGGCAAAUUUGGCAAAAAAAUUCAACUCUUAAGUCUUAGCUUGAAACUAAAUUAUAAUUAUGCCCAUUAAUUUUAUGAGUGCACGAGUAGACCCUUUAAUGCUAUAAAAAUUGAACAAUAAAUCACUUCAAUUUUGUCAUUUACAUGCAUGAAACUCAAUCGAUCCUACGUGAAUUAGUAAACCACUCAGAUGCUGCCACCUAAUAAAAAACACACAUUAUAACUAUGACAUUUAACUUUGGUAGUGCACAAGUAGGCGCUUUAAUUAUACAAAAGCUGAACAAAAAAAACACUUCAAUUCUAACUCUGACGCG